UCCCGCGUUCAAAUUUAUGAGAAAAAAGGGAAUUCCUUUAUCAAAAAAAGAAACAAAAAAACUACAAAAUUGGGUCUACAAAGAUAAACACAAAGGACACUGCCCAACUAGCUACUAGGAUAACUGAAUAAAAUGAUUUGAUACCAUGAACUAGCCAGUUACAUACUUCGUCACCUCACUCUUGAAAACAUGGCUAAUACUCCUCAACUUGAAGGAUCUCUUUGGUAACAUCGACUACUUCCUCAACUUCAAUGUCCUUGGCUUCAUAUUCCUCUUCCUCGUCACUAGCUUCUCCGUCCCUCAGAUUUUCCCUCUCUAGCUUCUCUUCUUCAUGCAACAGCUUCCACUCAUUGGCCCACUUGUCCCAAUCUUCUUUCAAGACCCUACGCUUCUCACGCUCUUGCUCACUCAGCAGCAAUGAAACAUCUUGGUCUUCAGCUUCAUAUUUCUUACUAUACUUCUUCAAGUUCUUUGCAAUCUCUUCCUCCUUCUCAGCAGUCAAGAAAG
rnacentral:lncRNA from 1 species